rnacentral:rRNA from 1 species
AACGAACGCUGGCGGCAUGCCUAACACAUGCAAGUCGAACGAGACCUUCGGGUCUAGUGGCGCACGGGUGCGUCACGCGUGGGACCCUGCCCUUAGGUUCGGAAUAACUCCCCGAAAGGGGUGCUAAUACCGGAUAAUGUCUUCGGACCAAAGAUUUAUCGCCUUUGGAUGGGCCCGCGUUGGAUUAGCUAGUUGGUAGGGUAAAAGCCUACCAAGGCGACGAUCCAUAGCUGGUCUGAGAGGAUGAUCAGCCACACUGGGACUGAGACCCGGCCCAGACUCCUACGGGAGGCAGCAGUGGGGAAUAUUGGAAAAUGGGCGAAAGCCUGAUCCAGCAAUGCCGCGUGAGUGAUGAAGGCCUUAGGGUUGUAAAGCUCUUUUACCCGGGAUGAUAAUGACAGUACCGGGAGAAUAAGCUCCGGCUAACUCCGUG